AACGAACGCUGGCGGCAGGCUUAACACAUGCAAGUCGAACGGUUCCUUCGGGGACAGUGGCAGACGGGUGAGUAACGCGUGGGAAUCUACCUUGAACUGCGGGAUAGCUCCGGGAAACUGGAAUUAAUACCGCAUGUGCCCUUCGGGGGAAAGAUUGAUCGGUUCGAGAUGAGCCCGCGUCCGAUUAGCUAGUUGGUGGGGUAAAGGCCUACCAAGGCGACGAUCGGUAGCUGGUCUAAGAGGAUGAUCAGCCACAUUGGGACUGAGACACGGCCCAAACUCCUACGGGAGGCAGCAGUGGGGAAUAUUGGACAAUGGGCGCAAGCCUGAUCCAGCCAUGCCGCGUGAGUGAUGAAGGCCCUAGGGUUGUAAAGCUCUUUCACCGGGGACGAUAAUGACGGUACCCGGAGAAGAAGCCCCGGCUAACUUCGUGCCAGCCGCCGCAGUAACAC
rnacentral:rRNA from 1 species